rnacentral:rRNA from 1 species
CCCCUAGAUGUUCUGGGCCGCACGCGCGCUACACUGAACAGUUCAACAAGUCUUAACCUUGGCCGAUAGGUCUGGGUAAUCUUUGAACGCUGUUCGUGAUUGGGAUAGACCUUUGCAAUUAUGGGUCUUCAACGAGGAAUUCCUAGUAAACGCAAGUCAUCAGCUUGUAUUGAUUACGUCCCUGCCCUUUGUACACACCGCCCGUCGCACCUACCGAUUGAAUGAUCCGGUGAAUAAUUCGGACCACUGCUAAGCCCAGCAAUGGAAUUAGCGGAGGGAAGUUUAGUGAACCUUAUCACUUAGAGGAAGGAGAAGUCGUANCA